GACGAACGCUGGCGGCGUGCUUAACACAUGCAAGUCGAACGGAAACGCCCUGCUUUUUUGCGCUGCUCGGGUGGCGAACGGGUGAGUAACACGUGAGUAACCUGCCCUUGACUUUGGUGUAACUUCAGGAAACUGAGGCUAAUCCCAGAUAGGAGCUCCUGCUUCAUGGUGGGGGUUGGAUAGUUUCGGCGGUUGGGGAUGGACUGGCGGCUUAUCAGCUUGUUGGUGGGGUAGUGGCUUACCAAGGCUUUGACGGGUAGGCGGCCUGGGAGGUUGACCGGCAACAAUGGGCCUGAGAUACGGCCCAGACUCCAACGGUAGGCAGCAGUGGGGAAGAUUACACAAUGGUCGGAAGCCUGAUGCAGCAACGCCGCGUGCGGGAAGACGGCCUGCGGGUUGUAAACCGCAGCCGCUUGUGACGAAGCGUGAGUGACGGUAACGGGAAAAGAAGCACCGGCUAACUACGUG
rnacentral:rRNA from 1 species